rnacentral:rRNA from 1 species
GGGUUGUGAGGUUAAGCGACUAAGCGUACACGGUGGAUGCCCUGGCAGUCAGAGGCGAUGAAGGACGUGCUAAUCUGCGAUAAGCGUCGGUAAGGUGAUAUGAACCGUUAUAACCGGCGAUUUCCGAAUGGGGAAACCCAGUGUGUUUCGACACACUAUCAUUAACUGAAUCCAUAGGUUAAUGAGGCGAACCGGGGGAACUGAAACAUCUAAGUACCCCGAGGAAAAGAAAUCAACCGAGAUUCCCCCAGUAGCGGCGAGCGAACGGGGAGCAGCCCAGAGCCUGAAUCAGUGUGUGUGUUAGUGGAAGCGUCUGGAAAGGCGCGCGAUACAGGGUGACAGCCCCGUACACAAAAAUGCACAUACUGUGAGCUCGAUGAGUAGGGCGGGACACGUGGUAUCCUGUCUGAAUAUGGGGGACCAUCCUCCAAGGCUAAAUACUCCUGACUGACCGAUAGUGAACCAGUACCGUGAGGGAAAGGCGAAAAGAACCCCGGCGAGGGGAGUGAAAAAGAACCUGAAACCGUGUACGUACAAGCAGUGGGAGCACGCUUAGGCGUGUGACUGCGUACCUUUUGUAUAAUGGGUCAGCGACUUAUAUUCUGUAGCAAGGUUAACCGAAUAGGGGAGCCGAAGGGAAACCGAGUCUUAACUGGGCGUUAAGUUGCAGGGUAUAGACCCGAAACCCGGUGAUCUAGCCAUGGGCAGGUUGAAGGUUGGGUAACACUAACUGGAGGACCGAACCGACUAAUGUUGAAAAAUUAGCGGAUGACUUGUGGCUGGGGGUGAAAGGCCAAUCAAACCGGGAGAUAGCUGGUUCUCCCCGAAAGCUAUUUAGGUAGCGCCUCGUGAAUUCAUCUCCGGGGGUAGAGCACUGUUUCGGCAAGGGGGUCAUCCCGACUUACCAACCCGAUGCAAACUGCGAAUACCGGAGAAUGUUAUCACGGGAGACACACGGCGGGUGCUAACGUCCGUCGUGAAGAGGGAAACAACCCAGACCGCCAGCUAAGGUCCCAAAGUCAUGGUUAAGUGGGAAACGAUGUGGGAAGGCCCAGACAGCCAGGAUGUUGGCUUAGAAGCAGCCAUCAUUUAAAGAAAGCGUAAUAGCUCACUGGUCGAGUCGGCCUGCGCGGAAGAUGUAACGGGGCUAAACCAUGCACCGAAGCUGCGGCAGCGACGCUGAUGCGUUGUUGGGUAGGGGAGCGUUCUGUAAGCCUGCGAAGGUGUGCUGUGAGGCAUGCUGGAGGUAUCAGAAGUGCGAAUGCUGACAUAAGUAACGAUAAAGCGGGUGAAAAGCCCGCUCGCCGGAAGACCAAGGGUUCCUGUCCAACGUUAAUCGGGGCAGGGUGAGUCGACCCCUAAGGCGAGGCCGAAAGGCGUAGUCGAUGGGAAACAGGUUAAUAUUCCUGUACUUGGUGUUACUGCGAAGGGGGGACGGAGAAGGCUAUGUUGGCCGGGCGACGGUUGUCCCGGUUUAAGCGUGUAGGCUGGUUUUCCAGGCAAAUCCGGAAAAUCAAGGCUGAGGCGUGAUGACGAGGCACUACGGUGCUGAAGCAACAAAUGCCCUGCUUCCAGGAAAAGCCUCUAAGCAUCAGGUAACAUCAAAUCGUACCCCAAACCGACACAGGUGGUCAGGUAGAGAAUACCAAGGCGCUUGAGAGAACUCGGGUGAAGGAACUAGGCAAAAUGGUGCCGUAACUUCGGGAGAAGGCACGCUGAUAUGUAGGUGAAGCGACUUGCUCGUGGAGCUGAAAUCAGUCGAAGAUACCAGCUGGCUGCAACUGUUUAUUAAAAACACAGCACUGUGCAAACACGAAAGUGGACGUAUACGGUGUGACGCCUGCCCGGUGCCGGAAGGUUAAUUGAUGGGGUCAGCGCAAGCGAAGCUCUUGAUCGAAGCCCCGGUAAACGGCGGCCGUAACUAUAACGGUCCUAAGGUAGCGAAAUUCCUUGUCGGGUAAGUUCCGACCUGCACGAAUGGCGUAAUGAUGGCCAGGCUGUCUCCACCCGAGACUCAGUGAAAUUGAACUCGCUGUGAAGAUGCAGUGUACCCGCGGCAAGACGGAAAGACCCCGUGAACCUUUACUAUAGCUUGACACUGAACAUUGAGCCUUGAUGUGUAGGAUAGGUGGGAGGCUUUGAAGUGUGGACGCCAGUCUGCAUGGAGCCGACCUUGAAAUACCACCCUUUAAUGUUUGAUGUUCUAACGUUGACCCGUGAUCCGGGUUGCGGACAGUGUCUGGUGGGUAGUUUGACUGGGGCGGUCUCCUCCUAAAGAGUAACGGAGGAGCACGAAGGUUGGCUAAUCCUGGUCGGACAUCAGGAGGUUAGUGCAAUGGCAUAAGCCAGCUUGACUGCGAGCGUGACGGCGCGAGCAGGUGCGAAAGCAGGUCAUAGUGAUCCGGUGGUUCUGAAUGGAAGGGCCAUCGCUCAACGGAUAAAAGGUACUCCGGGGAUAACAGGCUGAUACCGCCCAAGAGUUCAUAUCGACGGCGGUGUUUGGCACCUCGAUGUCGGCUCAUCACAUCCUGGGGCUGAAGUAGGUCCCAAGGGUAUGGCUGUUCGCCAUUUAAAGUGGUACGCGAGCUGGGUUUAGAACGUCGUGAGACAGUUCGGUCCCUAUCUGCCGUGGGCGCUGGAGAACUGAGGGGGGCUGCUCCUAGUACGAGAGGACCGGAGUGGACGCAUCACUGGUGUUCGGGUUGUCAUGCCAAUGGCACUGCCCGGUAGCUAAAUGCGGAAGAGAUAAGUGCUGAAAGCAUCUAAGCACGAAACUUGCCCCGAGAUGAGUUCUCCCUGACUCCUUGAGAGUCCUGAAGGAACGUUGAAGACGACGACGUUGAUAGGCCGGGUGUGUAAGCGCAGCGAUGCGUUGAGCUAACCGGUACUAAUGAACCGUGAGGCUUAACCUUACAACGCCGAAG